rnacentral:rRNA from 1 species
GACGAACGCUGGCGGCGUGCCUAAUACAUGCAAGUCGAGCGCAGGAAAUCGACGGAACCCUUCGGGGGGAAGUCGACGGAAUGAGCGGCGGACGGGUGAGUAACACGUAAAGAACCUGCCCUCAGGUCUGGGAUAACCACGAGAAAUCGGGGCUAAUACCGGAUGGGUCAUCGGACCGCAUGGUCCGAGGAUGAAAGGCGCUUCGGCGUCGCCUGGGGAUGGCUUUGCGGUGCAUUAGCUAGUUGGUGGGGUAAUGGCCCACCAAGGCGACGAUGCAUGGCCGACCUGAGAGGGUGAUCGGCCACACUGGGACUGCGACACGGCCCAGACUCCUACGGGAGGCAGCAGUAGGGAAUCUUCCACAAUGGACGAAAGUCUGAUGGAGCAACGCCGCGUGAACGAUGAAGGCCUUCGGGUCGUAAAGUUCUGUUGUAAGGGAAGAACAAGUGCCGCAGGCAAUGGCGGCACCUUGACGGUACCUUGCGAGAAAGCCACGGCUAACUACGUGCCAGCAGCCGCCGUAA